UUGAUUUCAUUGUUUCUCUAUCUCAACCCA
rnacentral:piRNA from 1 species